rnacentral:rRNA from 1 species
UACGUAGGGUGCAAGCGUUAAUCGGAAUUACUGGGCGUAAAGCGUGCGCAGGCGGUUUUGUAAGUCAGCUGUGAAAUCCCCGGGCUUAACCUGGGAACUGCGUUUGAAACUACAAGGCUAGAGUGUGGCAGAGGGGGGUGGAAUUCCACGUGUAGCAGUGAAAUGCGUAGAGAUGUGGAGGAACACCGAUGGCGAAGGCAGCCCCCUGGGUUAACACUGACGCUCAGGCACGAAAGCGUGGGGAGCAAAAGGG